UAAGUUAUUAAGGGCGCACGGUGGAUGCCUUGGCACUAGAAGCCGAUGAAGGACGUUACUAACGACGAUAUGCUUUGGGGAGCUGUAAGUAAGCUUUGAUCCAGAGAUUUCCGAAUGGGGAAACCCAGCAUGAGUUAUGUCAUGUUAUCGAUAUGUGAAUACAUAGCAUAUCAGAAGGCACACCCGGAGAACUGAAACAUCUUAGUACCCGGAGGAAGAGAAAGAAAAUUCGAUUCCCUUAGUAGCGGCGAGCGAAACGGGAAGAGCCCAAACCAACAAGCUUGCUUGUUGGGGUUGUAGGACACUCUAUACGGAGUUACAAAGGACGACAUUAGACGAAUCAUCUGGAAAGAUGAAUCAAAGAAGGUAAUAAUCCUGUAGUCGAAAAUGUUGUCUCUCUUGAGUGGAUCCUGAGUACGACGGAGCACGUGAAAUUCCGUCGGAAUCUGGGAGGACCAUCUCCUAAGGCUAAAUACUCUCUAGUGACCGAUAGUGAACCAGUACCGUGAGGGAAAGGUGAAAAGCACCCCGGAAGGGGAGUGAAAUAGAACCUGAAACCGUGUGCUUACAAGUAGUCAGAGCCCGUUAAUGGGUGAUGGCGUGCCUUUUGUAGAAUGAACCGGCGAGUUACGAUUUGAUGCAAGGUUAAGCAGUAAAUGUGGAGCCGUAGCGAAAGCGAGUCUGAAUAGGGCGUUUAGUAUUUGGUCGUAGACCCGAAACCAGGUGAUCUACCCUUGGUCAGGUUGAAGUUCAGGUAACACUGAAUGGAGGACCGAACCGACUUACGUUGAAAAGUGAGCGGAUGAACUGAGGGUAGCGGAGAAAUUCCAAUCGAACCUGGAGAUAGCUGGUUCUCUCCGAAAUAGCUUUAGGGCUAGCCUCAAGUGAUGAUUAUUGGAGGUAGAGCACUGUUUGGACGAGGGGCCCCUCUCGGGUUACCGAAUUCAGACAAACUCCGAAUGCCAAUUAAUUUAACUUGGGAGUCAGAACAUGGGUGAUAAGGUCCGUGUUCGAAAGGGAAACAGCCCAGACCACCAGCUAAGGUCCCAAAAUAUAUGUUAAGUGGAAAAGGAUGUGGCGUUGCCCAGACAACUAGGAUGUUGGCUUAGAAGCAGCCAUCAUUUAAAGAGUGCGUAAUAGCUCACUAGUCGAGUGACACUGCGCCGAAAAUGUACCGGGGCUAAACAUAUUACCGAAGCUGUGGAUUGUCCUUUGGACAAUGGUAGGAGAGCGUUCUAAGGGCGUUGAAGCAUGAUCGUAAGGACAUGUGGAGCGCUUAGAAGUGAGAAUGCCGGUGUGAGUAGCGAAAGACGGGUGAGAAUCCCGUCCACCGAUUGACUAAGGUUUCCAGAGGAAGGCUCGUCCGCUCUGGGUUAGUCGGGUCCUAAGCUGAGGCCGACAGGCGUAGGCGAUGGAUAACAGGUUGAUAUUCCUGUACCACCUAUAAUCGUUUUAAUCGAUGGGGGGACGCAGUAGGAUAGGCGAAGCGUGCGAUUGGAUUGCACGUCUAAGCAGUAAGGCUGAGUAUUAGGCAAAUCCGGUACUCAUUAAGGCUGAGCUGUGAUGGGGAGAAGACAUUGUGUCUUCGAGUCGUUGAUUUCACACUGCCGAGAAAAGCCUCUAGAUAGAAAAUAGGUGCCCGUACCGCAAACCGACACAGGUAGUCAAGAUGAGAAUUCUAAGGUGAGCGAGCGAACUCUCGUUAAGGAACUCGGCAAAAUGACCCCGUAACUUCGGGAGAAGGGGUGCUCUUUAGGGUUAACGCCCAGAAGAGCCGCAGUGAAUAGGCCCAAGCGACUGUUUAUCAAAAACACAGGUCUCUGCUAAACCGUAAGGUGAUGUAUAGGGGCUGACGCCUGCCCGGUGCUGGAAGGUUAAGAGGAGUGGUUAGCUUCUGCGAAGCUACGAAUCGAAGCCCCAGUAAACGGCGGCCGUAACUAUAACGGUCCUAAGGUAGCGAAAUUCCUUGUCGGGUAAGUUCCGACCCGCACGAAAGGCGUAACGAUUUGGGCACUGUCUCAACGAGAGACUCGGUGAAAUCAUAGUACCUGUGAAGAUGCAGGUUACCCGCGACAGGACGGAAAGACCCCGUGGAGCUUUACUGUAGCCUGAUAUUGAAAUUCGGCACAGCUUGUACAGGAUAGGUAGGAGCCUUUGAAACGUGAGCGCUAGCUUACGUGGAGGCGCUGGUGGGAUACUACCCUAGCUGUGUUGGCUUUCUAACCCGCACCACUUAUCGUGGUGGGAGACAGUGUCAGGCGGGCAGUUUGACUGGGGCGGUCGCCUCCUAAAAGGUAACGGAGGCGCUCAAAGGUUCCCUCAGAAUGGUUGGAAAUCAUUCAUAGAGUGUAAAGGCAUAAGGGAGCUUGACUGCGAGACCUACAAGUCGAGCAGGGUCGAAAGACGGACUUAGUGAUCCGGUGGUUCCGCAUGGAAGGGCCAUCGCUCAACGGAUAAAAGCUACCCCGGGGAUAACAGGCUUAUCUCCCCCAAGAGUUCACAUCGACGGGGAGGUUUGGCACCUCGAUGUCGGCUCAUCGCAUCCUGGGGCUGUAGUCGGUCCCAAGGGUUGGGCUGUUCGCCCAUUAAAGCGGUACGCGAGCUGGGUUCAGAACGUCGUGAGACAGUUCGGUCCCUAUCCGUCGUGGGCGUAGGAAAUUUGAGAGGAGCUGUCCUUAGUACGAGAGGACCGGGAUGGACAUACCUCUGGUGUACCAGUUGUCGUGCCAACGGCAUAGCUGGGUAGCUAUGUGUGGACGGGAUAAGUGCUGAAAGCAUCUAAGCAUGAAGCCCCCCUCAAGAUGAGAUUUCCCAACUUCGGUUAUAAGAUCCCUCAAAGAUGAUGAGGUUAAUAGGUUCGAGGUGGAAGCAUGGUGACAUGUGGAGCUGACGAAUACUAAUCGAUCGAAGACUUAAUCA
rnacentral:rRNA from 3 species